AUGACCUACGGGGGGCAGCAGUGAGGAAUAUUGGUCAAUGGCCGGAAGGCUGAACCAGCCAAGCCGCGUGAAGGACGAAGGUGCCAAGCAUUGUAAACUUCUUUUGUCAAGGGACAAAAUCAGGCUCGAGAGCCUGACCGAGGGUACUUGAAGAAAAAGCAUCGGCUAACUCCGUGCCAGCAGCCGCGGUAAUACGUAGGGAGCAAGCGUUGUCCGGAAUUACUGGGCGUAAAGGGCGCGUAGGUGGGCGCUUAAGUCAGGUGUGAAAACUCCGGGCCCAACCUGGAGACUGCAAUUGAAACUGG
rnacentral:rRNA from 1 species